AUGUUGUAUGAAAGGAGAGGUUAGCACUCCCCUUGACAAAGGUGGAAGAGGCCCACAGGCCUGAUAACACAUGCAGUUAAGGCAUUUCCACCUACUUGGUGGCAUCUAACCAUGUAAGUGC